GAUGAACGCUGGCGGCGUGCCUAAUACAUGCAAGUCGAGCGAACGGACGAGAAGCUUGCUUCUCUGAUGUUAGCGGCGGACGGGUGAGUAACACGUGGAUAACCUACCUAUAAGACUGGGAUAACUUCGGGAAACCGGAGCUAAUACCGGAUAAUAUUUUGAACCGCAUGGUUCAAAAGUAAAAGACGUUCUUGCUGUCACUUAUAGAUGGAUCCGCGCUGCAUUAGCUAGUUGGUAAGGUAACGGCUUACCAAGGCAACGAUGCAUAGCCGACCUGAGAGGGUGAUCGGCCACACUGGAACUGAGACACGGUCCAGACUCCUACGGGAGGCAGCAGUAGGGAAUCUUCCGCAAUGGGCGAAAGCCUGACGGAGCAACGCCGCGUGAGUGAUGAAGGUCUUCGGAUCGUAAAACUCUGUUAUUAGGGAAGAACAUAUGUGUAAGUAACUGUGCACAUCUUGACGGUACCUAAUCAGAAAGCCACGGCUAACUACGUG
rnacentral:rRNA from 1 species